rnacentral:rRNA from 1 species
GCGAGAAAACUUUGCAAUGUGCGAAAGCACGACAAGGCUAAUCCGAGUGGUUUCUGCUAAAGAAACCUUUUGUCAGUCCUAGAAACACUAACGAAUAAGGGGUGGGCAAGUUCUGGUGUCAGCCGCCGCGGUAAAACCAGCACCUCAAGUGGUCAGGAUGAUUAUUGGGCCUAAAGCAUCCGUAGCUCGUUUUGUAAGUUUUCGGUUAAAUCCAUACGCUUAACGUAUGGGCUGCCGGGAAUACUGCAUAACUAGGAAGUGGGAGAGGUAGACGGUACUCGGUAGGAAGGGGUAAAAUCCUUUGAUCUAUUGAUGACCACCUGUGGCGAAGGCGGUCUACCAGAACACGUUCGACGGUGAGGGAUGAAAGCUGGGGGAGCAAACCGGAUUAGAUACCCACGUAGUCCCUGAGCGGGCUGGCAAGGCGCAU